UUUCCGUAGGUGAACCUGCGGAAGGAUCAUUAACAAAUUCCAAAACUCGUGUUUGGCUAUUUGUCGCUUGUAGUGAUGCAAGAGGCAUUUAGUCAAAAUAACACAAACCAUUAACAUUCAAUAUUGACAACAAAUGGAGAACCUAUUUUAAUCGUAAAAUGAAACAACUUUUAACAAUGGAUCUCUCGGCUCUU
rnacentral:misc_RNA from 1 species